GGCGCUGGGUUUGAUCCUCAGCACCACAUAAAAAUAAAGAAAUAAAAUUUAUUUAUUUAUUUGUGCUGAGGAUCAAACCCAAGGCCU
rnacentral:miRNA from 1 species